CAGCCGCCACGGUAAUACGAAGGGUGCAAGCGUUAAUCGGAAUUACUGGGCGUAAAGCGUGCGUAGGCGGUUUGUUAAGUCUGUUGUGAAAUCCCCGGGCUCAACCUGGGAAUGGCAAUGGAUACUGGCGAGCUAGAGUGUGUCAGAGGAUGGUGGAAUUCCCGGUGUAGCGGUGAAAUGCGUAGAGAUCGGGAGGAACAUCAGUGGCGAAGGCGGCCAUCUGGGACAACACUGACGCUGAGGCACGAAAGCGUGGGGAGCAAACAGGAUUAGAUACCCCGGUAGUCCCUGUCUCUUAUAC
rnacentral:rRNA from 1 species